GACAGAGGGUGCAAACGUUGUUCGGAAUUACUGGGCGUAAAGGGUGCGUAGGCGGUCGUGCAAGUCGGAUGUGAAAUCUCAGGGCUCAACCCUGAAACUGCAUUCGAUACUGCGCGGCUAGAGUGCUGGAGGGGAGACUGGAAUUUACGGUGUAGCAGUGAAAUGCGUAGAUAUCGUAAGGAAGACCAGUGGCGAAGGCGAGUCUCUGGACAGCAACUGACGCUGAGGCACGAAGGCCAGGGGAGCAAACGGG
rnacentral:rRNA from 1 species